GGAUGAACGCUAGCGGCAGGCUUAACACAUGCAAGUCGAGGGGUAUAUGUCUUCGGAUAUAGAGACCGGCGCACGGGUGCGUAACGCGUAUGCAAUCUACCUUUUACAGAGGGAUAGCCCAGAGAAAUUUGGAUUAAUACCUCAUAGUAUAGUGACUCGGCAUCGAGAUACUAUUAAAGUCACAACGGUAAAAGAUGAGCAUGCGUCCCAUUAGCUAGUUGGUAAGGUAACGGCUUACCAAGGCUACGAUGGGUAGGGGUCCUGAGAGGGAGAUCCCCCACACUGGUACUGAGACACGGACCAGACUCCUACGGGAGGCAGCAGUGAGGAAUAUUGGACAAUGGGCGCAAGCCUGAUCCAGCCAUGCCGCGUGCAGGAUGAAGGUCCUAUGGAUUGUAAACUGCUUUUGUACGAGAAGAAACACUCCAACGUGUUGGAGCUUGACGGUAUCGUAAGAAUAAGGAUCGGCUAACUCCGUGCCAGCAGCCGCGGUAAUACGGAGGAUCCAAGCGUUAUCCGGAAUCAUUGGGUUUAAAGGGUCCGUAGGCGGUUUAGUAAGUCAGUGGUGAAAGCCCAUCGCUCAACGGUGGAACGGCCAUUGAUACUGCUAAACUUGAAUUAUUAGGAAGUAACUAGAAUAUGUAGUGUAGCGGUGAAAUGCUUAGAGAUUACAUGGAAUACCAAUUGCGAAGGCAGGUUACUACUAAUGGAUUGACGCUGAUGGACGAAAGCGUGGGUAGCGAACAGGAUUAGAUACCCUGGUAGUCCACGCCGUAAACGAUGGAUACUAGCUGUUGGGAGCAAUCUCAGUGGCUAAGCGAAAGUGAUAAGUAUCCCA
rnacentral:rRNA from 1 species